UACAGAGGGUGCGAGCGUUAAUCGGAAUUAUUGGGCGUAAAGGGCGCGUAGGUGGCCCUGUAAGUCAAAGGUGAAAUCCCUCGGCUCAACCGAGGAAUUGCCCUUGAAACUGCAGGGCUUGAGGCCGGGAGGGGGUAGCGGAAUUCCCAGUGUAGCGGUGAAAUGCGUAGAUACUGGGAGGAACACCGGUGGCGAAGGCGGCUACCUGGACCGGUUCUGACACUGAUGCGCGAAAGCGUGGGUAGCAAACAGG
rnacentral:rRNA from 1 species